CAGGAAAGCUAAAGUUCACAACAACAAUAAUUUUAAGACCGAGAGUGUAGAAGACUUACCUACGGCAAGGAGAUUUUUGCCGGAUCAUUGUUGAAGGCUUUUUGAUGAAGGUGGUGCCACCACCUCUCUUUGAACUUUGCUUCAAGACUUGAAGAUGAACUUCAAGUUAGAACUCUCAACCAAGGUAUGAACAACUUCUUCACUCCUUUUCAAACUAUGGGACUAAGAAACUUGAAAAUUAUGAGAGAAGUGAGAAAGCAAAUAGUUAAGGUUGCUUUGGUGUGAUUUGCAAUGAAGAGAACACCUCUAUUUAUAGGAAAAGCUUAGGAUGUGUUUGGCAUAAAAAUUAACUUGAUUGGCAAGAUUGUAAUCAUUGAGAAAAUAAGAAUAAGAAUAAGAAUAUUCUCCAUGUCAUUAUGCAAAGAUAUUUCUUAUGAUAUGAAUCAUGCAAGUGGAAGAAAAAUCUCUCUUUGAUUCCUUUUUGUCUUGAAUUAUCUCUUCUUUUUGAAUUAUUUCUUUUAUUGGACUUUUUGCUAAUCUCACCCCUUUUUGUUUCUUUUUUUUUUUCAUGUGACAUGAGUAUUCUUUGAAGAAAGAAUGAAGAAACUUGAAUUCCAAGAAUGGAGAUUUGAAGAUUGAAGAAAGUCUUCAAGAAUGUCUUUGUAGUUUUUCUCUUUUUUCUUGUAAUUUCCAAUUCAUUCCAACUUUAAAAUUGUAUGAACUUGUAUUCUUGAAAAUGAAUAGAAUUUUGUAA